rnacentral:rRNA from 1 species
AACGAACGCUGGCGGCAGGCUUAACACAUGCAAGUCGAACGCCCCGCGAGGGUAGUGGCAGACGGGUGAGUAACGCGUGGGAAUCUACCCUGAACUGCGGGAUAGCUCCGGGAAACUGGAAUUAAUACCGCAUGUGCCCUGAGGGGCAAAGAUUUAUCGGUUCAGGAUGAGCCCGCGUCCGAUUAGCUAGUUGGUGGGGUAAAGGCCUACCAAGGCGACGAUCGGUAGCUGGUCUAAGAGGAUGAUCAGCCACAUUGGGACUGAGACACGGCCCAAACUCCUACGGGAGGCAGCAGUGGGGAAUAUUGGACAAUGGGCGCAAGCCUGAUCCAGCCAUGCCGCGUGAGUGAUGAAGGCCCUAGGGUUGUAAAGCUCUUUCACCGGGGACGAUAAUGACGGUACCCGGAGAAGAAGCCCCGGCUAACUUCGUG